GGCGGCGUGCCUAAUACAUGCAAGUAGAACGCUGAAGGAGGAGCUUGCUUCUCUGGAUGAGUUGCGAACGGGUGAGUAACGCGUAGGUAACCUGCCUGGUAGUGGGGGAUAACUAUUGGAAACGAUAGCUAAUACCGCAUAAUAUUGACUAUUGCAUGAUAGUCAAUUAAAAGGUGCAAUUGCAUCACUACCAGAUGGACCUGCGUUGUAUUAGCUAGUUGGUGGGGUAACGGCUCACCAAGGCGACGAUACAUAGCCGACCUGAGAGGGUGAUCGGCCACACUGGGACUGAGACACGGCCCAGACUCCUACGGGAGGCAGCAGUAGGGAAUCUUCGGCAAUGGACGGAAGUCUGACCGAGCAACGCCGCGUGAGUGAAGAAGGUUUUCGGAUCGUAAAGCUCUGUUGUAAGAGAAGAACGAGUGUGAGAGUGGAAAGUUCACACUGUGACG
rnacentral:rRNA from 1 species